rnacentral:tRNA from 1 species
AUUUAAAUAGCUUAAAUGAGAGCAUAACAUUGAAGAUGUUAGGGUGAUAAAUUUUAUCUUUAAAUA